CUUUUUUUUUUUUUUUUUUUUUUUUUUUUUUUUUUUUUUUUUUUUUCCGCUUAGGGUACACCUUGUUGGCGUGAC
rnacentral:ribozyme from 13 species